CUAUUUCUAAAUUGUAUUUCUAUAUGGACUAUGCUUUUUCUUUUUCUCCGAUUAAUGUGAGAAUUUCUAAGCCAUGAGAGCGAACGUGGAAGCUCCUUUUUCUAUUCCUUUAAUUAUAUAAUAGAUGUUCCGUGUAAGCUGAUUUCCUUAUUUUGCAUAGUGUAAUGUGUUCUACUAGCAACGAUAGGGUUUGAGAUAUUCGGUUUUGACAUUUCAUUUGAUGGCAUUUGAUCAUUAUGUUCAAAGAUGCUCACUACUGAUGCUGUAGAGCUCACUCCCCCAAAUCUGCAACCUUCUCAUGGACUCUGAAAUUAGAAUCGAGCACAAAGCAAAGCACAGCUAUAGCGCAUCCAGCGAUGAGAAGAGAAAGGGGGAGGAAAACGAGGGGUCCUCUACCUCGGUUGUGCUCGAGGUUCUCCGGCGCCGGCGACGUGGGACUCGGCGGCGAUUUACCUCGUCGGAGCGCUCACUCGCUUGCCGUCGUCGCAUCAACGGCAAUGUAAACAUAUAAUGUCUCCCUGACUCGUGGGGCCCACUUGAGGGCAAGAACGCAAGAACGACGCGUGUCUCUCCUGCUUGAGAACUAACCGGCAGCCGCUCGCCGGAGCUCCCUCCGGAAACCCCAAAUCUCGGCGCCCGUAUCCAGAGGCGGUUCGUGUCCCGUUGGUUCUUGGGCUCCUAUCCUCGUUCAGAUCAGGGAGGCUGUUCAGUUCUUGUUUAUCCAGCGGGGCGCAGCGAAAUUUGCAGAGGAAUCUCAAUCUCCAAACUGGUAGGAAGAGAGUUUGGUCGAUAGAAGUUGAGUUCUUGUUUGUUCGUUGGUCUGCAGAGUUCACUAGUUCAGAUAAUCAUAUCAUCAACACCAUGAAUUGAAAGAGAUGCUGCACUGCUGUUUAUUGUGUUCACUGUUUAAUUCAUAGCAUCCAUCAAACCUGUAUCUGUUUGGGAGAAUGUUCGAUCAAUGCUACAGUUGGAAUCAAAUUCAACUCA